CGAACGGUAACAGGAAACAGCUUGCUGUUUCGCUGACGAGUGGCGGACGGGUGAGUAAUGUCUGGGAAACUGCCUGAUGGAGGGGGAUAACUACUGGAAACGGUAGCUAAUACCGCAUAACGUCGCAAGACCAAAGAGGGGGACCCUCGGGCCUCUUGCCAUCGGAUGUGCCCAGAUGGGAUUAGCUUGUUGGUGGGGUAACGGCUCACCAAGGCGACGAUCCCUAGCUGGUCUGAGAGGAUGACCAGCCACACUGGAACUGAGACACGGUCCAGACUCCUACGGGAGGCAGCAGUGGGGAAUAUUGCACAAUGGGCGCAAGCCUGAUGCAGCCAUGCCGCGUGUAUGAAGAAGGCCUUCGGGUUGUAAAGUACUUUCAGCGGGGAGGAAGGGAGUAAAGUUAAUACCUUUGCUCAUUGACGUUACCCGCAGAAGAAGCACCGGCUAACUCCGUGCCAGCAGCCGCGGUAAUACGGAGGGUGCAAGCGUUAAUCGGAAUUACUGGGCGUAAAGCGCACGCAGGCGGUUUGUUAAGUCAGAUGUGAAAUCCCCGGGCUCAACCUGGGAACUGCAUCUGAUACUGGCAAGCUUGAGUCUCGUAGAGGGGGGUAGAAUUCCAGGUGUAGCGG
rnacentral:rRNA from 1 species